ACGAGCCAACUGGAGGGGUCGGCCUUGUGCUUUUCCAUGUGCGAAACUUUACUAAAUACAGAAGCCUUGACCUUUUUUGCAACUCAUUUUGAAGAAUUAUUAACCCUCUCGGAACUUUAUCCCAACGUCCAAAAUUGGCACUUCCCUGUGGAGUUUAAUACUUCUACCGAUUCUGCGCACAUAAAAUUUACAUAUCAAAUUGUUACUGGGAAACCAGUUCAGCUGGCUUCUGGCAUUGAAUUAGCGAGAAUUUCUGGUUUUCCUGAAAAACUUCUCCAACGAGCGCAGUGUUUAGCUGAGCAUAUGAGAAACGCAAAUUAUAAAGAAAAUUAUGAGAAUAAAAAACUUCAGCUGCAAAAAACAGUCGAAUGGGAGGCUGCAAUCCAGUUGGUUCACCUUUAUGAGUCCCGUACGUUCGCUGAGAAUACGUCAAUAAGAGCAUUUUUAAAAGCUUUGAA